AGUUCCAAACCCCAGACCAGGGGGAGGACUCACCCAGAUUUUGGCAAGCUUUGGACUCUAGACUCUUGGAACAAGUUUCAAAUUCCAGCAGCCUUCUGUUUAUCGAAGGAAGAUAAACUAAGCGGCCUGCUGAAUAGUGCGUGGGUUUUCAGACGCGAUCUGGGAAACAGCAGGUCUUUGGGACAUUAAACAUGCUGUGACACUUUCCAUGAGAACAAAGAUAAAACGGGACCUUUUCGCAUCCUUCCCCACCACUGUGGCCAGGCAGGGGCCGCCUGGUUCCUGUCUUUCACCCAGGACCUCGCUGCAAGUGCAAAGCCCCCAGGAGUGCACAGGCAGAGCCGGAGGAGGGGGUGGCUGGGAGGCGUUUGCUGCACCGCUCUUCCACGUUCUGUAAUAUUUUGGAAAGUUUUCAACCUUACCUGGAUUAAAAUGUGCUUCACGUUGAAAGAUUUUCCUUGCCAAAAAUGAACUGUUAACGUAGUUGCGAGAGGCUUUAUUUGUGCUGUGUAACGCCGCCAGGUAACAGAGCUCUGAACAAGGCACUCUGUGCAUUUAAGCCACCGCUCAAGAGACUGGGGAUCUCGGCAUCGCAGCAAAUCUCCUCCGCAAGUCCGGGGGGCAGCGUCUCUAUAACAACUCCCCACCAUCGAUGGGACCGGCAGCGGGUAUCUAAGUUGGCUGCUGACAUUUUGACGUCUGGGUCAACAACAGGUAAUGCUUUCCUCUCUGUGGUGCGGAACCACAUCGUGUGCUGUACACACCAGGAGUGCACAGAGAGGCGGUAACACGGCUCAUACUCUGCUGACCUGGCCAUCGGCACCGUAACUACUCGAAAAACACGCUUUUGUGCUGUGUAAAUUCAUUUUCAGCACUGACAUAUCACAAACUAGGUAUCACCCAAACGACAUGCCUGACUUCAUUUGGCUCUUUGGAGCAACGGUCUAACAAAAAUGGAAAUACAAGGAUUUGGUUUACGUUCAUGUUUUACACAUUCACGACGGGCUUCCUCUUGUCACUGCUAGCACAGAUUUUUCCCACACAAGUUUCAGCUGCUGACACCGGAUAAACCAUCCAUUGCACUGCUCCACCUAGCAGUUUGACAAGCAGCACAGUAUAACUCAUCUGUAAGAACCUUAAUCCCUCCAGGGUUGCAGGACUAUGCAUGUCGCUCCCGUGGAGCUGCUGUAACCACGAUACCCAAGGAGUACAUUCUCUCACCCGGAGGGCCUGACCAGGCAAAGACAGUGGCCUCGGGAAGGGGGUUGUUUCGGUUUGCUCCCUAUGCAAACAAGAAUAAUACCUUUGCACUCUCUUACGCUUUCCAAGCCACAAAAAUAAUCAAAAACUGUAAUGCCAUGGAAUUUAAUGGGUAAGAUAAAUGCUUUUACAGUUUGGAGGAUGGCUAGGUGCCACGGUACGGUUGAUUAAUGGCCUUCCUGUGCAGUAUGUUCUUAAAGAGUGUUCUUUGAUUGAACCCUUAUAUACAAUUAGCUGUGGCAAACUAAAAACCCUGCUACCCUCCUUCCUCUGCCCUCUUCUUCCGCCUCCCUGAUACAGCCGGCUGCCAGUACAGGAUAUUCGAUAACAGCAUGCUGAGAGGAACGUUUCCAGAUCUGGUCACUAACAUUUGCAUCUACAACCUUUGGCACCCUAUAGUCAAGGGGAUAUAGCUUCCCCAACAGCUCUAGAUAUUAAGCCAAUGCCAUCACAGGCUGGAGAAACCGUAGUCCCUGUGGUUCCCUCAGUUCCCCCUCGGUAGCCACAGCCCAAACCUGGCUGACUCCAAGGCGAGAAGAUGAUGUACUCACUCACCACUUGGGAGCGGAGGCUCCUUUCCGCAGGUGCAGGCAAGCUCUGUUGGUUACUGCAACACAGGGCUUAAGCAGAACAUCAAAAGGCUCUGAUGAAUUCCUCAAAAUACAUGGCUGUGCAGUGUCAUAUACGGAACCUGGGUUAGAAAAAAGAGGGUGUACAAUUGUUAUUCCGUGGCACCCUCACUUUUUACACGGACGUUGGCAAUUCCUGGAACUUAAGACCAUCAUAUGGCAUCAGACCAAAAAAAAUGCAUUUAAAACCCAGAAUGACACCCAGAACUAGGUGCAGGUAUGUCUUGCAACCUAUUCUGCCUAAUCGAGUAUAUCAUCUUCCAGAAUCUUUGGAACUCUGGCAGAAAUAUCCUCUCUGUCUUGAAAUAAAUUAAGUAUGGGCAGAUCAAUGCUUAAUAUUAGUAGAACCAGAGGAUGAUUCAACUCCUUUUAAUGAUUACCAGCCCCCACAUUUGAAACCUCUUGCCUUGCCACUGUUUAUCUGGGGUAGUCCUGGUCCGUCAUUGAAACCCCUGGUCUGAGCACACGCGGUGAGCUUUCUGGACACAUUUUGAUGCGUGUGUUUUACAAAGAUCAGUACUCCAGCUAGCCAGAAUUUUCCAGUGCAACAAUUUUUCACUAGAAGACACAGAUUCACCAAAACAAAUGUUCUAUGGAAAUGUGGUUCUGUAGCUAUAAAAAGGCAGGAGCUUUAAAAAAAACCUCGUCUGCUAAAUGACUUUCUUUUGGCAGCCUUCUAGGCUUCCUGCUAGCAGGCUUUUCUGGUGGAAAAAGGAAAAUUUCAAAACGUCUAAAUUUCUUUUCACAUCAGAAGAAAAACUUAAUUACACGUUGGAAUUUUUCACACCAUGGGAAUAAUAAAUUUGAAUUAGUUGUCCUUGGAAGCGAGCCUUCGCACAGCCAUUCCAGUCUCUCUUCCACAUCCACCGGACUGUGGACCAGAGGCUCGGGCUGUUUCAAUCCAUACAGGAAUCCGACAUCGAACACAGCCCGUAUUGUUGCUCUAGUCUGAGGAGACCUAACCAUUUCCGUGGCUCUACAGCUUGUCAUGGCAUUAUGUUUCUGCUCUCCCUGCUGCAUGAUGAGUGUGGCUCUUCUGAAGAGCCAGUGUUAGCAGUUUACCCUGCUCAUCAUCACCUCACCCUCGCCUGUACCAACCCCUGGGGAAGAGCACAGGCUAAGGAAGGCUGGACUGGGUUCAAAGCCUGUGGGCAGCGCAGGUCAUCUUUAUCCUAUUUCCCAAACCAGUACGUAAUACCACGUAAAAAGACGAUGGGGAGCCACCACCGAUUCUCCACGCCACAGAAAACCAGUCACUUGGCGAGAACUGGCUGUACCUCAGACAAAACUGGCACUCACUGACUGCUGGGGCUUUCAGGGAGAGCUCCUCACCCCCCUCCCAGGGUAUGCUGUGCCUCCGGACAUGUUUUCCCUACGGCUCAACUGUGAAAUGCACAGCUUCACAGCUAGGACUACUUUCAAUCCUGUUUUUACUGCCUAAUUGUUGUAUUUGUUGUGUUCACAGGCCGGGGAAAGAGUUUGUUUGCUUUAAACUUUAAUAUACUCCUUUAAAUAAAAUAUGCCCAUUGAUAACAUCUACAGCAAACAUUUACAGAGUUAACACACACAGAAACCACUGUCAUUCCACCCAGAGAGAAGGUUAACAAGCAUCAGAGAUUUCUGUUUUCCUUGGAGAGGUACCAGAUUAGUUCCAGGGGCACUUAUGCAACACAACCUUACAGCCAAAUCUCGUUGUUUGGGUUCUUUUUCCUUUUUUUUUUUUUUCCCCCCCCUCCACUCUGUGCAUGUACAAGGUGGGUUGUUUUUUUUUUUUUUUCCACCCAGUUGUUUGCUUUUUUUUCCCCUCCCUCUCUGAGUUAAGCAUGUGUGGACAGAGCCCUCAACCACAGCCAGCUACAUCAGACACUAUCUGCUCCGCGUAGCAGGUAUUUUGGUUUUCCUGCUGUAAAACCACCCGGCUGCUGUACAAGGUGCGGGGGCUCGGCCGGGGACCUGCAAAGCACACGGGACCGCAGUCUCUCGCACGUGCGUGCGUGCACACAGGCGUGCCUUCAGGGAGCGGCAUCCUUCACUGCUCUUGCGGGAGGAAUGCAUGCCUGCAUAAAGGCUUGAAGCCUCAUCUUACCUGCUCAAGACAUGACAUUUAAAACAGUGAAGAGACAUGGAAUGGUAUUAUCUACCCUUUAAUUGCUAUAAAGAGUAAUGCUACUUUUAUGAAUGGAUGAGUGGUGACCGAAACCAUUUUCUUCAUUGAUAAAUCUCUGAUUCAAGCCUGAGUAAUAUAUUACUAAUUAAGGUGUUUUGCUUGUUCGUUUUUAAAGCCAGUUCUCUGACAUUUGUGUAUUCAGCCUUGGGUGGUUUGUUUUGUUUUAUUUUGUUGUUGUUCUUGGGUUUUGGGUGGUUUUUGAGGUGGUUUUUUUUUUGUUUUUGUUUGGGUUUUUUGGUGGCCAGAAGUUGCCCUCACUGAGUUACCAGUCAAAUACCAUCACCUUCCUACCACAGCAGGGUAGGUGGAAAGCUCAGGGACUCGAACAGGACUGACUAAAUUAUUUUCUUUCCUCUAACAGGUCUGCAAGGCAAGUAGGUUAGAAAAGGAAAAGCCAGUUGUUCUUAUUCUUGUGAGUAAAGGUAUUUCAAUU